rnacentral:rRNA from 1 species
UACGUAGGGUGCGAGCGUUAAUCGGAAUUACUGGGCGUAAAGCGUGCGCAGGCGGUUCGUUAAGUCAGAUGUGAAAGCCCCGGGCUCAACCUGGGAACUGCAUUUGAAACUGGCGGGCUUGAGUAUGGCAGAGGGGGGUGGAAUUCUGCGUGUAGCAGUGAAAUGCGUAGAGAUGCGGAGGAACACCGAUGGCGAAGGCAGCCCCCUGGGCCAAUACUGACGCUCAGGCACGAAAGCGUGGGGAGCAAACAGG